rnacentral:lncRNA from 15 species
AUGGGGGGGGCCGCGCUGUUUCUAAAGCUUGUUCAUGAUACAAAUAUAAUUUAUGCGCUUGAACGCACCAUAAAUCACCUUCAGUGUCAGACUGUUACCGCCCUCUCACUGCAGACUGACUGCUGCAGGUUUCUGUCCUCCCCCUCAGAGUCCUGGUUCAUUCAGAGUCCUCGUUCACUGUCAGAGUCCUGGUUCACCGCCAGAGUCCUGGUUCACCGUCAGAGUCCUGGUUCAUUCAGAGUUCUGGUUGACCGUCAGAGUCCUGGUUCAUUCAGAGUCCUGGUUCACUGUCAGAGUCCUGGUUCACCGUCAGAGUCCUGGUUCAUUCAGAGUCCUGGUUCACCGUCAGAGUCCUGGUUCACCGUCAGAGUCCUGGUUCAUUCAGAGUUCUGGUUCACCGUCAGAGUCCUGGUUCAUUCAGAGUCCUGGUUCACCGUCAGAGUCCUGGUUCAUUCAGAGUCCUGGUUCAUUCAGAGUCCUGGUUCAUUCAGAGUCCUGGUUCAUUCAGAGUCCUGGUUCCCGGUCAGAGUCCUGGUUCCCGGCCAGAGUCCUGGUUCCCGGCCAGAGUCCUGGUUCACCGUCAGAUUCCUGGUUCAUUCAGAGUCCUGGUUCAUUCAGAGUCCUGGUUCCUGGUCAGAGUCCUGGUUCACCGUCAGAUUCCUGGUUCAUUCAGAGUCCUGGUUCACGUCAGAGUCCUGGUUCACCGUCAGAGUCCUGGUUCACGUCAGAGUCCUGGUUCACCGUCAGAGUCCUGGUUCAUUCAGAGUUCUGGUUGACCGUCAGAGUCCUGGUUCAUUCAGAGUCCGGGUUCACUGUCAGAGUCCUGGUUCACCGUCAGAGUCCUGGUUCAUUCAGAGUCCUGGUUCACCGUCAGAGUCCUGGUUCAUUCAGAGUCCUGGUUCACCGUCAGAGUCCUGGUUCACCGUCAGAGUCCUGGUUCAUUCAGAGUCCUGGUUCAUUCAGAGUCCUGGUUCAUUGUCAGAUUCCUGGUUCAUUCAGAGUCCUGGUUCAUUCAGAGUCCUGGUUCACCGUCAGAUUCCUGGUUCAUUCAGAGUCCUGGUUCACGUCAGAGUCCUGGUUCACCGUCAGAGUCCUGGUUCACGUCAGAGUCCUGGUUCAUUCAGAGUCCUGGUUCACCGUCAGAGUCCUGGUUCAUUCAGAGUCCUGGUUCACCGUCAGAGUCCUGGUUCAUUCAGAGUCCUGGUUCAUUCAGAGUCCUGGUUCAUUCAGAGUCCUGCCACCGUCACUAAGUCUUCUUCAUUAAAGUAUAAAAGCUGACUCUGUCAACACGAAGAGUUAAAGAUGGCCGAUGAGUCGAUGAUUCAGUGAAAUCAAACGUAUAAAUGAAGGUGGAGAAACUGUGCCAAGGGCGGCAAACAGCUGACUAUUUGACCCUGGACAGUUUAGAUAUUUAUAUCCUCCAACGAUCCAGCAGCUCCACUCACAAUUAAUCUUGUCUGAGCCUCCCCACACUGUAAGUACAGUACGGCAGCCUGCAGAGGACACAAUGCUGUCUCAUACAUCUGUUAGCAGUCUGUUAGCAUGGCAUCAUAACCUGGGACCUGUUAGCUUUAUUCAGUGUGUUUAAGGUGGAACUGCUUUAUUCAGUGAUUGUUAGGGUGGAACUGCUUUAUUCAGUGUGUUUAAGGUGGAACUGCUUUAUUCAGUGAUUGUUAGGGUGGAACUGCUUUAUUCAGUGUGUUUAAGGUGGAACUGCUUUAUUCAGUGUGUUUAAGGUGGAACUGCUUUAUUCAGUGUGUUUAAGGUGGAACUGCUUUAUUCAGUGAUUGUUAGGGUGGAACUGCUUUAUUCAGUGUGUUUAAGGUGGAACUGCUUUAUUCAGUGUGUUUAGUGGUUUUAAUCAGCGGGUCUGUUUGUGUUGGAGAGGAGGAGACCUCUGUGGAUCAUUGGGCUCCCGGUAGAAACCUCCUGAACCAUGAACACUGAAGGAAUCCUAACCGGGAGAAGCUGACUGCAAUGACGCCAAUGGUGGUGAAGACAACAACUCCCAUGAUCCCACACUGCUUCAACACCAUCUAACUUCCUGUUUUUAUUGAUAUACUUUAACCGCGGUGGUCAUUAUUUAGUUUUUAAUCUUUUUACAUUUUUGCUGAUAUUUGUUAUUAAUGUACAAAAUGUAAAUAAACACGAUAUUAAGAUGUAAUAAAGUCUGUAACCUUCAUAUUAAGCUUCUGGAACAUAUUGAUUGUGUUAGCUGGAUAACGAUAGCUAAUGUUAAUGUCGGGAGAAACUGAAACCAGCAGAAACGUUUAGUUUUAUUGAUCUAUUGAUGUAUUAAUAUAUUGAUCUAUUGAUAUAUUGAUGUAUUAAUAUAUUGAUGUAUUGAUAUAUUGAUCUAUUGAUAU